rnacentral:rRNA from 1 species
CUAUCUGCAGUCGAGCGGAAGAAGGGAGCUUGCUCCCGGAUGUUAGCGGCGGACGGGUGAGUAACACGUGGGUAACCUGCCUGUAAGACUGGGAUAACUCCGGGAAACCGGAGCUAAUACCGGAUAGUUCCUUGAACCGCAUGGUUCAAGGAUGAAAGACGGUUUCGGCUGUCACUUACAGAUGGACCCGCGGCGCAUUAGCUAGUUGGUGGGGUAAUGGCUCACCAAGGCGACGAUGCGUAGCCGACCUGAGAGGGUGAUCGGCCACACUGGGACUGAGACACGGCCCAGACUCCUACGGGAGGCAGCAGUAGGGAAUCUUCCGCAAUGGACGAAAGUCUGACGGAGCAACGCCGCGUGAGUGAUGAAGGUUUUCGGAUCGUAAAGCUCUGUUGUUAGGGAAGAACAAGUGCGAGAGUAACUGCUCGCACCUUGACGGUACCUAACCAGAAAGCCACGGCUAACUACGUGCCAGCAGCCGCGGUAAUACGUAGGUGGCAAGCGUUGUCCGGAAUUAUUGGGCGUAAAGGGCUCGCAGGCGGUUUCUUAAGUCUGAUGUGAAAGCCCCCGGCUCAACCGGGGAGGGUCAUUGGAAACUGGGAAACUUGAGUGCAGAAGAGGAGAGUGGAAUUCCACGUGUAGCGGUGAAAUGCGUAGAGAUGUGGAGGAACACCAGUGGCGAAGGCGACUCUCUGGUCUGUAACUGACGCUGAGGAGCGAAAGCGUGGGGAGCGAACAGGAUUAGAUACCCUGGUAGUCCACGCCGUAAACGAUGAGUGCUAAGUGUUAGGGGGUUUCCGCCCCUUAGUGCUGCAGCUAACGCAUUAAGCACUCCGCCUGGGGAGUACGGU